AAAACUAACUUCGAUUUGAAGAAUUGUAUUUUUGGGAUUGGCAUGAUCAAAUAACAUAUUAGAAACCACUUAUUUAAAAAAUAAUUUGUAUACAUAAAAGUAUAUACAUUAGAGUAAACACAUAAAUCAAAACCAAUACAUUUUGUUUAUUUACAAUCAUAUUUUUGGGGAAAUUUUACUUUUACACUUUGUUUGAUACCACUAUUCAAUUUUACCACCAAUUUAGGGACAUUUUCAUAAAUACCACUUUCAUUAAUGAACAAAAGACAAUAGUACCCUUACCUUAUCUUCUCCUCAAUCAUCGACUCUUCCUCUCUCUUUUUGAGAUCCAUUUUCUCUCAGACUUACCGUCGAGAUCCGCCGUCUCCGUCGAGAUCCGCCGUCUCCGUCGAGAUCCGCUGUCUCCGUCGAGAUCUGCCGUCUCUGUCGAGAUCCACCGUCUCCGUCGAGAUCCGUCAUCUCUCUCUCUCACACAACCGGCGACGAAAACGGAUUACAGAGAAUCGCGAUUCAAAGCCUUCAAAUGUUGAUUCCUGUUCAAGAUUCACAACUCUUAGACAGCAAUGAAUCUUGCACAUCUUCAUGAUUGCCUCCAAGGAUUUAUGAAGCUGGAACAGAACCACUAGACAAUCCAAAAGUGAUUAUCCAAUCGGUGUCUUGGUCAAUAAUGUUAAGUGUUUUAUAAAAGAUUAUAAAUGUAGUAUUAUAGGGGUUUAUAAAUUUAUAAAUUAGAGAGACUUAUAAUACGUUGUUUAUUCUUUGUUACAUCUUGUGGUUAAUACAUUAUUUGGAUUCUCUGAGGAAUACAAACAUUUGGUGACCCCAACA